rnacentral:lncRNA from 1 species
CCUAUUCCGUUGCAAAUUUGGGAAAAAGCAAAACAUGAAGUUGUAUUCCUUUGAGUUAGCUUUCCAACCAUAUCUUUUGUAGCCCAAUUGGAGGUUUGAGCAAAACAUUAUGUCUAUUGUACUAGACAGUAUGCAAUCUACCCACUGGAUUUUUCGUUCGCUCUAGCUACCAUCCAUUGACCCCCAAACACGAUCCCGAUUUAAUUCCUUGAGCUUUUAUUCAUAUUCAAAGCUACAAAUUACUUGAAUUCAUUUCAUAACAUCUAUAUAGCUUGAAAUCACUCCUACAAGGCAUAAAACACAGUUAGUGUAAGAUACUAGUAAUUAAAGCUCAAACUCAAUCAAAGUACAGUAAAUUUGAGUGUAAUAGCGACUAAUAUACACAAUUAUAGCCUAUCAUCAAAACUCUCAAGUGAACGGAGGUGGGAGCUUCCAUGAAGAAACUUAUUACUCCAACAAUUCAAGUAUCUUAAGUUUCCUCUAAGGCUUUUGAAAUGGAAUCUACUUUUUCUCCAUUAUCAAACUUUGACAACUUUGUUCCAUUCUCCAUUGGUGUGUUCAAGGGUUUGCAAUCAUUGAACUUCUUCAAGACCUCCUUUGAAUAUUUUUCUUGAGAAAUAAAAACCUCUUUCUCCAUUUGCUUCAUUUUUAAGCCCAAAUAAUAUGACAUGAGCCAUAUGUUUAUCAUCACGAACUCAAAGGACAUAAAUUUCUUGAAGACUUCAAACAAACAUAGGUUAUUUCCCAUGAAAAUAAUAUCAUCAACAUGUAGACAAACGAGCAAGAUAUCUCUAUUAGCACGGUUAUCUUGAAGAUGAAGUAUAUGUUGCAUUGUAAAUAUAAUUUAGAAUUUUAUAAUUGUUGGAAAAUGUGGAUGUUCACCUUUAGUGGUUAGGUUUAGUAAGUUAUUUUUCUCUCUGUACUUGGUCAGUCGAUCACUGAAAGGUCAUAGCCCUUGGGUAUUAUGAAAAUUCACUAGAUCCUUGUUUUGUUGAGAAAUCAACUUAACCUUGAAGAAAUGAAGGCCAAUUUGAUCUUUGACUCUUAUAGAAAUGAAGAGCCGCUUGACCUUUGACUCUUGAAGAAAUGAAGAGCCACUUGGCUUUUGACCCUUCUAAAAAAGCAGGUCAUUUGCCUAUAAAUAGGAACUUUUGUAUUGAAUGAAUAAAGCAAGAAAGUUUAAGAGAUUCCCCCUAGUAAAUAUGUCUUCUUCCUUCUCUCCUAUAAUCCUCCUAUGUAUUCCACUUUGUCCGAUAUAACUUUGUCCCUCUUUAUUUUGGAUUUCCUUUUCAAACUUGAGAGGUUUUUUCUCUAAUUGCAUGAGUCUAAGCAUAAGUUUUCAGACUUCUCAAUCGCUCAUACCACAUAAUCAAAUUUAUGUUAAAGAGCGAAGGUAUUAAAUUACAAAACCUAGGAACUUUUCUACCACAAUGGCAUCUUCUUUUUCUCCUCAUACCUUUUCAAUUAUUUCACAACCUUCAUUUUUGAACAGAUGGAAUUUGUUACUUCUUUAUAGCUUCAAAAUCCACUUGUAGAGUUUGAAGAUUUAGUUUCUCUACUUUAUCAACUCCUUCGAGGGGAUUUUGUAAAACCUCUCAAGCUUCCCUUGAGGUGAUUUCAUCUAUCACCUUCUCAAUCGGAUCAUCCAGGUAUUGGUGAAUGAGUAUGAAGACUUACAGAUCCUUCUUCAUCAUCUUUGCCAAAGAAUCUUUUUCAAUUUAAGGCAAAACUUCCUCAUUGCAGGCUUUACAUAUCCUCAAUCUACGGUUUUCUACACAUCUUUCAAGACAAAUGACUUUCUUUCGUAGACACUACUUUUCAUAAGUUUCUUAUGUGAGACAAGGAAAUUGAAAAGAAACUGAAUCAUUGUUUUCCAUGAUUUUUAUACCACUAUGGUUGACAAAGAGGAAUACCUAAGAAAAUUGUAGGAGAAGAGAAGAAGAGGAAGACAAUACUUCUAUCAAGAUACGCUCUUUUUUUUUUUAUCUUGUAUAGGAAGAUCAUACUUUUUCUCUUAAACUAUCUUGUUUCAUUCAUUCUGAUAAAGGAUCUUAUUUAUAGGAUAUGUCUCCUCUCCAUUUCUUGUUGGCUCCAUUUCCUCAAGUUCUUACUUGGAUAUUGUAUUGAGAAAAAAAAUUAAAUUUACAUUAAAGCUGACGUGACAUGACACAUGAACUGGUGAAUUGGUCAAGACAUGAUGGUUAGUUAAGAGGCACGAGUGACAACACAUAUGGGGAAAGAUAGCUAAAUAGGCACGAGAAACCAUUCAAAUAGUACAUGCUUUGUACCUAUUUAAAGCUAACAGAUCAGAAGCUAUUGAAGACAUGGAUCUGAUGACGAAAAUGAGUCCAAAUUCAGUAUUAAAUACCCAAUACUUUAGAGAAUUGGUAUUAAAUAGGAAUGAUUGUGUAACGUCUAAUUUAAUGUCAUUUAUUGUUGCAAUGAUCAAAGCUAAUGCCAACUUUUCUAGUUGUUGAUAUCGUGUUUCAGCAUCUAAUAAAGAUUUGCUUACAUAAUUGAUAGGAGAUUAUUUACAUUGGUCCCCUCGUACCAAAACAACACUUACCGCAACUUCUGAUACUGCCAAGUAGAUAAGUAGUUUUUCACCUUCCUUUAGUUUUGAAAAUUGCGGAGGAUUUGACAAGUAAGAUUUCAAAUUCUUAAAGGCUUGCUGACAAUCUUCGUUCAAUUCAAAAUGGUCUUGCUAUUAGAGAGCCGAGAAGAACUUAAAACAAGUUUUAGAAGAUUUAGAAAUAAAUAUUCCCAGGGCUGCGAUUCUUACCGUUAAUCUAUGAACCUCCUUCUUAUUAGUAAGGAUAUAAGGGAUUUCUUCUAUCACUUUGAGCUGAGAAGGAUUUACCUCAAUCCCACGGUUAGAAACAAGAAAAUCCAAAAAUUUACCUGAGUGAACUCCGAAUGCACACUUUUCAAGGUUGAGUUUCAUGUUAAAUUUUUGUAAAAUUUCAAAUGUAAUAGAUAAAUGAGAAAUAUGAUCAUAAUAAUACUAGGUUUUGACGAGCAUAUCGUCUAUAUAUAUCUUCAUAGUUUUUCCUAAAUUUUCUUGAAACAUUUUUGUGACCAACCUUUGAUAGGUUGCUCCAGAAUUUUUGAGAUCGAAUGACAUUACUUUAUAGCAGUAAGUCCCCCUAUCUGUGAUGAAAAAAGUCUUUUCCACAUCACUAGGGUCCAUUUUAAUUUGGUUGUACCUCGAAUAUGUAUCUAAAAAGCUUAAAGUUCAUGACCUACAGUUGCAUCAAUUAACUAAUCUAUAUGCGGUAAAGGAAAAGAGUCUUUUGGGCAAGCUUUGUUUAGAUCAGUAUAAUCCCCACAAAUGCGCCACUUACCAUUUUUCUUAGAUACGACCACCUUGUUAGCUAACCAAUUAGGAUACUUUACCUUGUGGAUCAACCCAAUCUUUAAUAAGUUUUGGACCUCAUCUUGAAUAACCUGGUCCUUGAAAGCCCCUCGCUUUCUUUACUUUUGCUUUAUUGGUGUGAAAGAUGGGUCCUCGUUUAGUUUGUGGGUCAUCACAUCCGGUGGUAUCCCUGUCAUAUCAGUGUGGGAUCAAGCAAAACAAUCCAUGUUAGCUUUUAAUAACUCAAUUAACAUACCUCGCAUGUUGGGAUUUAGAUUGGCUCCUACAUAAACCUUUCAUUUAGGCCAUUGCUCAAAUAGCACUACAACCUCGAGCUCCUGUUGUUUAAAUGUUCUCGUUUUCUUCAGGUUCUUGAAUCACAUCAGCUCUCGAGUCUAAGUCUGUUUUAUCUUGUUCAGUUGAAGUUUGAUUGUUGACACCGUCAACUGUUUCCUCUAAUUGCUAUUUUUCUUUACUUAUGGCGCUUGUAUCUGUUACGGCAUGGAUACUCCUGGUUGUUUGCUGAUCCCCUUCAAUUUGAAAAAUUCCCCAUGGUGACGGAAACUUAAUAACUUGAUGCAGAAUUGAUAGAACAACAUCCACAUCAUGGACCCAAGGUCUCCCAUGAUCAUAUUGUCGGUCAUUUCCAUAUCAACUACCUGGAAUUUAGUUUCUUUAAUAACACCUGCAGCAAAAGUUGUUAGAAUUACCUCUCCUUUUGUUACCUUGCUUGAAUUGUCGAAGCCUGACAAGGUAUGCACCUUGGGUAUCAUUUUGUCUUCAGCUUGCAUUUCCCGUAAUACCCUUAGUAGGAUGAUAUUUGCAGAACUCCCUGGGUCAAUCAAAAUUCAUUUUACAUUAGUCUCAUGUAUAAGCAAAGAUAUUACAGUGUGUCAUUGUGAAGAGUAAUCACUCCUUCUGUAUCUGCGUCAUCAAAGUUUAUGCUUUCGUGCUCUAAGGUCUGGCGCACUCACUUCCCGUUUGUGAUUGUUACUUUGGAAACCUUAUUUGAAGUUGUAUACGUUACUCCAUAAAUAUCUUUUCCCCUACUGAUGACGUUCAUGGUUCUCUUAGAUGAUUGUGGUUUCGGUGGCUCUUACCUAUUUUUCAUAUAGGCUUGUUUUCCUUUCUCACUAAAUAACUCAAUGAGAUAUCCUUGCUUCAAUAGAUGAUCCAUUUCACUUUGUAGGAAUCUGCAUUCUGAUGUUUUAUGCUCGUGGUCGUUGUGGAAUUCACACCAAUGGUCCGGAUUACGCCUGUUUGGAUUUGACCGCAUCUCCUUCGGCCACCGUACCUUGUCUCCCAUACUCCUUAGAACAGCUACGAUCUCAGAAUUAGAUAUAUUUAAAUUAUUGCCACCGAAUCGUGCCUUUAAAUAGUCAUCCCGUGGCUCUUAAUUGCUUCGAUCACCUCUGAACCUGGAUGAAGACCCGGUCUCCCUGUUUCUUGGCCGUUGAUCAUAUCGUUGGUUAUCUUGUUUUGAUCGUGAAUCUCUUCCUGCAGGUCCCAUAUAAGGAUCAUAUCUAUUCUUACCUGAUUUUUUCAGCCUCUGAUCUCCUGGAUCCGCUCCUUUUUUCACGAUGGUACUGAGGUACGACAUCUUCUUCAAUUCUGAGCUUCGUAUUAUACCUGUUAUAAGCAUCAUUCUAAGUGGUUGCAGGAAAUUCACAAAGACUUUCCUUAAGCGUUCUCGUGGCUUAUGAACUUUAGUCAUUCAAAUUGCUUGUAAAAGCUAUUGCUGCCCAAUUGUCUGGUACACGAGGCAGAGUCUUUCUUUCACGCUGGAAUCUAACAACAAAAUCUUUUAGCAGUUCAGAGUCCUCUUUUUUGAUUUUGAAAAUAUCCUCCAUUCUAUUCUCAACCUUUUGAGCUCCCGAGUGUACUUUAAUAAAAUAAUCUGCAAGCUCAACAAAAUAAUUUUCAUGUAAAAGAGAAUACUAGGUUAAUGCACCCUUGGUUAGCGUUUCUUCAAAUUUCUUAACCAACACUGAUUCGACUUCUUGUUUGGUCAAGCCGUUGCCUUUCACGCCGGUUGUAAAUGCAGUCACGUGGUCAUGUGGUUCUGCUAUACCAUCAUAUUUUGGGAUGUCGGGCAUUUUGAACUUUUUAGGAAUUGGGAGAGGAUCAGCAGUUGAAUUCGAAGGUUCUUGUGAGUAAUUAUCUAGAUCCACUCCUUUAAUAAUAGGAGGAACUUCCGGAAUUUGCUCAUUACGCUCAUUUUGUUCCUUAAUCCGUUUCUACAAGGUUAGUACUAAAUUUUGUAGAUAAGAAUUAUUUGAAUUACCUGAUUCCCCUUCCUGUGGUUCACUAGUAGUUCUUCCUUUUCCAGAAUUAAUAAGACCAGAAUAGGGAUUAUCCAAUGUACUAUUAUUAGAAGUUGGUGUAGGCGGUACAGCUGGUAAUCGAUUCACUAGAGCUUGAAGAGCUUUGCCGACUUGUGCAUCAAUUAUCUUUUGUAAAGCCUCAUUUUCACCUCCUUCAAAAUGUUCAGAUUGUUCUUGUUGAUCAACACGAGAUUCAGGAGCAUGAGUACCUUCGAGAUUGUUGUGAUGAAUCUGGAGGGGAGAGAUCCACAUUUUUUUAAUUUUAAAAAUUGAACCCGCCCCGCCCCGAAAUCGCACCGCCCCAUUACCAUCCCUACAUAUUCAGAAUGGACAUCCACAUUUUACAAGACCUAGAAAUUCUAAGUUAUUACAACUCAUCGACGAUAAAACAUUGCUUUUGGAAUACCAUCUCUUAGUCUUUCCUAUCUUGUCAAAACAAUUGUUAACAAGAAGUACUUAGAUAGGCUAUCCUAUGGCAAAUACUGAAGAAUUGAUACUACGCAGCAUCUAAUCUAUCAAAAACUCAUAGAAGUAUUCUCUGGGACUGACAAUGAAAUAAACAUGACCAUAAGCUACUCGAUGCUGCAAAAUAUUUUUUAGUCAAUACAUUUUUCUCUCUACCUGCACAAGGUAGGGGUAAAGUUGAAUGCUCACUGCUCCCCCAAACCCGACUUGUGAAAUUACACUCGGUAUAUUGUAGUUAUGUUUUCCAAGAUCUGUAUAGUAGAAAUAUUCUAUAGCAUCUUUUAUGCUGUCACGAUCUCCUUAGCAUCUUUUAUCACUUGAAAAGGAAAAAUGUUUCGUCAAAUCGUAGAAAUAUUUCUACUACGAAAGAGGCAUAGAGUAUGUCAUACAGAAGCCAAAUACAAUAUUCAUUACGUUGUGCAGAACACAAUCAGUUAAAACAUUUUUAUAGUAAUUCUUAGUAAUGCCUAUUGAAUCAGCCAUUGAAAUCUUUAAGAAAAUAGACAUCAGCAAAGAGAGAAUGCAGAUAGGAUAAAGAGUGAGUGAUGAUUUAGUACCAGUGACGGAUGAAAUUGCAGGUGAUCGAAGUCCAACCUAAGAAGAAAACCAGAUAUUAGUCGAAACUGCAGGUGAUACGAGAAUCAUAGCGAGAUUUAAUACCGACGAUGGAUGAAUUUGGUGGGUGCGGCUGGGAGUGAUGCUGAUGAAUUUGAGAGGGCG